rnacentral:rRNA from 1 species
GACGAACGCUGGCGGCGUGCUUAACACAUGCAAGUCGAACGGUGAAGGGACCGGUUUUUGCUGGUUCUGGAUGAGUGGCGAACGGGUGAGUAACACGUGAGUAACCUGCCCCCUUCUUCUGGAUAACCGCAUGAAAGUGUGGCUAAUACGGGGUAUUCUGCGCCUGCUGCAUGGUGGGUGUGGGAAAGAUAUUGUUUCGGUGGGGGAUGGGCUCGCGGCCUAUCAGCUUGUUGGUGGGGUGAUGGCCUACCAAGGCGGUGACGGGUAGCCGGCCUGAGAGGGUGGACGGUCACACUGGGACUGAGACACGGCCCAGACUCCUACGGGAGGCAGCAGUGGGGAAUAUUGCACAAUGGGCGCAAGCCUGAUGCAGCGACGCCGCGUGAGGGAUGGAGGCCUUCGGGUUGUAAACCUCUUUCGCCAGUGAAGCAGGCCUGUCCCUUUUGUGGGUGGGUUGACGGUAGCUGGAUAAGAAGCGCCGGCUAACUACGUG